rnacentral:lncRNA from 1 species
AUGGGGCCAGCAAUAACAUAUCAAAUCUUAAUCUCAUAACUACAUAUAUCAAUAUAUGUAACUAAACUACCAAAACUCAUAUACAAUAAUAAAGAAAUCAAAUGAUGUGAAGAAAAGAAUAUUAAAAAAAAUUCAGCAUCUAAAUCUUGUCCCCACUUAUGCUUUCACAACAAUUUUUUUUCGGGUAUAUGAAAAAUAUAAGCUUUGUUCACGCUCUCACUUUUUAAGAAUAUGAUUUUUUUCAUCGUUUUACUAAUUUUUCGAGUCUUUAAUUUUUAACAAAUAAUAUCGUUAUAUACAUGUUAUUAAUAUAAUUUAGAAA